AAUGAACGCUGGCGGCAUGCCUAACACAUGCAAGUCGAACGAAGGCUUCGGCCUUAGUGGCGCACGGGUGCGUAACGCGUGGGAAUCUGCCCUUGGGUUCGGAAUAACAGUUAGAAAUGACUGCUAAUACCGGAUGAUGUCUUAAGACCAAAGAUUUAUCGCCCAAGGAUGAGCCCGCGUAGGAUUAGCUAGUUGGUGGGGUAAAGGCCUACCAAGGCGACGAUCCUUAGCUGGUCUGAGAGGAUGAUCAGCCACACUGGGACUGAGACACGGCCCAGACUCCUACGGGAGGCAGCAGUGGGGAAUAUUGGACAAUGGGCGAAAGCCUGAUCCAGCAAUGCCGCGUGAGUGAUGAAGGCCUUAGGGUUGUAAAGCUCUUUUACCCGGGAUGAUAAUGACAGUACCGGGAGAAUAAGCUCCGGCUAACUUCGUG
rnacentral:rRNA from 1 species